UAAUACGUAGGGUGCGAGCGUUAAUCGGAAUUACUGGGCGUAAAGCGUGCGCAGGCGGUUGUGUAAGACAGGUGUGAAAUCCCCGGGCUUAACCUGGGAACUGCGCUUGUGACUGCACGGCUAGAGUAUGGCAGAGGGGGGUGGAAUUCCACGUGUAGCAGUGAAAUGCGUAGAGAUGUGGAGGAACACCGAUGGCGAAGGCAGCCCCCUGGGCCAAUACUGACGCUCAUGCACGAAAGCGUGGGGAGCAAACAGGAUUAGAUACCCUGGUAGUCCACGCCCUAAACGAUGUCGACUAGGUGUUCGGUGAGGAGACUCAUUGAGUACCGCAGCUAACGCGUGAAGUCGACCGCCUGGGGAGUACGGUCGCAAGAUUAAAACUCAAAUGAAUUGACGG
rnacentral:rRNA from 1 species